GUGGUGGCCUCCUUGCGGUUUCCUUUCGCCGUUUCCGAACCGAGGGAUUGCUACUCGCCUUUGGCUUGGCGGUCUCUGUGCUCGGGGGUCCGAAAACUGCUGGAAGGCCCCCGGUCUCUGGAGGGGAGCAGGCGGUAGCGAGUUUAGUGACGUGGAGCAGGCGCAGAACAGUCGGAGGUACCUGAGUGGUUAUUAAAAACGGUAACGAUUUGAAGAGAUUUCCUGGGUGUGGAGUGUGACUUUCCAAAACCAGCUUUUCCUUGAGCUGUAUUUGUUGCAGCAAUGUUUAGGAGAUUGACUUUUGCACAACUGCUUUUUGCCACUGUCCUUGGAAUUGCUGGAGGAGUAUAUAUUUUUCAACCAGUAUUUGA
rnacentral:lncRNA from 1 species